GGAAAUGUGCCUGAACCAAAGGACUAUUUUGAUAGAAUAGAUCAUAGGAGCCAAACUCCUCAUUUCCC
rnacentral:tRNA from 1 species